rnacentral:pre_miRNA from 1 species
AUUGGUGAGGGCAUCUCCAAUGGGGACCCGGCAUCAUUGGAUUAGUUCUCAUUAAUGC